GUGGUCGUUCUGCCGGAGUCCUGAAUAUGGAGAAACUAAGACAAACUCCAGGUGAGUCCUGGAAGUGGGAACACC
rnacentral:pre_miRNA from 13 species